AUUGAACGCUGGCGGCAGGCUUAACACAUGCAAGUCGAGCGGGGGAAGGUAGCUUGCUACCGGACCUAGCGGCGGACGGGUGAGUAAUGCUUAGGAAUCUGCCUAUUAGUGGGGGACAACAUCUCUAAAGGGAUGCUAAUACCGCAUACGUCCUACGGGAGAAAGCAGGGGAUCGUCGGACCUUGCGCUACUAGAUGAGCCUAAGUCGGAUUAGCUAGUUGGUGGGGUAAAGGCCUACCAAGGCGACGAUCUGUAGCGGGUCUGGGAGGAUGAUCCGCCACGCUGGGACUGGGACACGGCCCAGACUCCUACGGGAGGCAGCAGUGGGGAAUAUUGGACAAUGGGGGGAACCCUGAUCCAGCCAUGCCGCGUGUGUGAAGAAGGCCUUAUGGUUGUAAAGCACUUUAAGCGAGGAGGAGGCUACUCUAGUUAAUACCUAGGGAUAGUGGACGUUACUCGCAGAAUAAGCACCGGCUAACUCUGUGCCAGCCGCCGCCGUAA
rnacentral:rRNA from 1 species